AUAUAUGAAACAAUAAAUUGUAUUUAAUUUCGACUUAAACCUUAGAAUUCAACAAUUCCAUAUUUA
rnacentral:tRNA from 1 species